AUUGAACGCUGGCGGCAUGCCUUACACAUGCAAGUCGAACGGCAGCACGGGUGCUUGCACCUGGUGGCGAGUGGCGAACGGGUGAGUAAUACAUCGGAACGUACCUUAUCGUGGGGGAUAACGCAGCGAAAGCUGUGCUAAUACCGCAUACGCCCUGAGGGGGAAAGCGGGGGAGCGCAAGACCUCGCGCGAUUAGGGCGGCCGAUGCCUGAUUAGCUUGUUGGUGGGGUAAAAGCCCACCAAGGCGACGAUCAGUAGCUGGUCUGAGAGGACGAUCAGCCACACUGGGACUGAGACACGGCCCAGACUCCUACGGGAGGCAGCAGUGGGGAAUUUUGGACAAUGGGGGCAACCCUGAUCCAGCAAUGCCGCGUGAGUGAAGAAGGCCUUCGGGUUGUAAAGCUCUUUUGUCAGGGAAGAAACACCGGCUCUAACACAGUCCGGGAAUGACGGUACCUGAAGAAUAAGCACCGGCUAACUACGUGCCAGCCGCCGCAGUAA
rnacentral:rRNA from 1 species